rnacentral:ncRNA from 1 species
CAACCUCAACUCAUAUGGGACUACCCCCUGAAUUUAAGCAUAUUAAUUAGGGGAGGAAAAGAAACUAACCAGGAUUUUCUUAGUAGCGGCGAGCGAAAAGAAAUCAGUUCAGCACUAAGUCACUUUGUCUAUAUGGCAAACGUGAGAUGCAGUGUAUGGAGCGUCAAUAUUCUAGUAUGAGAAAUUAACGAUUUAAGUCCUUCUUAAAUGAGGCCAUUUACCCAUAGAGGGUGCCAGGCCCGUAUAACGUUAAUGAUUACUAGAUGAUGUUUCCAAAGAGUUGUGUUGCUUGAUAGUGCAGCACUAAGUGGGUGGUAAACUCCAUCUAAAACUAAAUAUAACCAUGAGACCGAUAGUAAACAAGUACCGUGAGGGAAAGUUGAAAAGAACUCUGAAUAGAGAGUUAAACAGUACGUGAAACUGCUUAGAGGUUAAGCCCGAUGAACCUGAAUAUCCGUUAUGGAAAAUUCAUCAUUAAAGUUGUAAUAUUUUAACAAUAUUAUAAUAAUAGUGUGCAUUUUUUCCAUUGUAAUCUAUUAGCAUAUAACAAAUUUAUCAUAAAAUAUGACUUAUAGUUUAUUCAAAUUAUUAUGCUUGCAUUUUAACAUAGAAUAAAUGUCAUUAAUUUGAUAAAGUGUUGAUAAAUUAAAAUUAAUACAGUGCGUUAAUUUUUCGAAAUUAUAUAAUGGCAUAAUUAUCAUUGAUUUUUGUGUUUAUUAUAUGCAUUUGUAUGAUUAACAAUG